AGAGUUUGAUCAUGGCUCAGAUUGAACGCUGGCGGCAGGCCUAACACAUGCAAGUCGAGCGGAUGAAGGGAGCUUGCUCCUGGAUUCAGCGGCGGACGGGUGAGUAAUGCCUAGGAAUCUGCCUGGUAGUGGGGGAUAACGUCCGGAAACGGGCGCUAAUACCGCAUACGUCCUGAGGGAGAAAGUGGGGGAUCUUCGGACCUCACGCUAUCAGAUGAGCCUAGGUCGGAUUAGCUAGUUGGUGGGGUAAGGGCCUACCAAGGCGACGAUCCGUAACUGGUCUGAGAGGAUGAUCAGUCACACUGGAACUGAGACACGGUCCAGACUCCUACGGGAGGCAGCAGUGGGGAAUAUUGGACAAUGGGCGAAAGCCUGAUCCAGCCAUGCCGCGUGUGUGAAGAAGGUCUUCGGAUUGUAAAGCACUUUAAGUUGGGAGGAAGGGCAGUAAGUUAAUACCUUGCUGUUUUGACGUUACCAACAGAAUAAGCACCGGCUAACUUCGUGCCAGCAGCCGCGGUAAUACGAAGGGUGCAAGCGUUAAUCGGAAUUACUGGGCGUAAAGCGCGCGUAGGUGGUUCAGCAAGUUGGAUGUGAAAUCCCCGGGCUCAACCUGGGAACUGCAUCCAAAACUACUGAGCUAGAGUACGGUAGAGGGUGGUGGAAUUUCCUGUGUAGCGGUGAAAUGCGUAGAUAUAGGAAGGAACACCAGUGGCGAAGGCGACCACCUGGACUGAUACUGACACUGAGGUGCGAAAGCGUGGGGAGCAAGCAGGAUUAGAUACCCCGGUAGUCCACGCCGUAAACGAUGUCGACUAGCCGUUGGGAUCCUUGAGAUCUUAGUGGCACAGCUAACGCGAUAAGUCGACCGCCUGGGGAGUACGGCCGCAAGGUUAAAACUCAAAUGAAUUGACGGGGGCCCGCACAAGCGGUGGAGCAUGUGGUUUAAUUCGAAGCAACGCGAAGAACCUUACCUGGCCUUGACAUGCUGAGAACUUUCCAGAGAUGGAUUGGUGCCUUCGGGAACUCAGACACAGGUGCUGCAUGGCUGUCGUCAGCUCGUGUCGUGAGAUGUUGGGUUAAGUCCCGUAACGAGCGCAACCCUUGUCCUUAGUUACCAGCACCUCGGGUGGGCACUCUAAGGAGACUGCCGGUGACAAACCGGAGGAAGGUGGGGAUGACGUCAAGUCAUCAUGGCCCUUACGGCCAGGGCUACACACGUGCUACAAUGGUCGGUACAAAGGGUUGCCAAGCCGCGAGGUGGAGCUAAUCCCAUAAAACCGAUCGUAGUCCGGAUCGCAGUCUGCAACUCGACUGCGUGAAGUCGGAAUCGCUAGUAAUCGUGAAUCAGAAUGUCACGGUGAAUACGUUCCCGGGCCUUGUACACACCGCCCGUCACACCAUGGGAGUGGGUUGCUCCAGAAGUAGCUAGUCUAACCGCAAGGGGGACGGUUACCACGGAGUGAUUCAUGACUGGGGUGAAGUCGAAACAAGGUA
rnacentral:rRNA from 1 species